AGCUUUGCGCAUGGGCAGUAGCGUAGCCAGCGAGGUUUUUUGGAGACACGAUUAUUGCUAAUUGAAAUAAUA
rnacentral:snRNA from 1 species